UGCGCAUAAAGUCCACCGAAGACCUGC
rnacentral:piRNA from 1 species